rnacentral:rRNA from 1 species
UACGAAGGGGGCUAGCGUUGCUCGGAAUUACUGGGCGUAAAGGGCUCGUAGGCGGCCAACUAAGUCGGAUGUGAAAUCCCCAGGCUCAACCUGGGAACUGCAUCCGAUACUGGAUGGCUUGAAUUCGGGAGAGGGAUGCAGAAUUCCAGGUGUAGCGGUGAAAUGCGUAGAUAUCUGGAGGAAUACCGGUGGCGAAGGCGGCAUCCUGGACCGACAUUGACGCUGAGGAGCGAAAGCUAGGGGAGCAAACGGG